AAAUUUCAGGAACUAAACAAGGCCUAUGUGUUUUCCUGCUUGCCGUCCUCGUUGCCGUUGUCGUGCACGCCGCCGUUACUGCACCCGCCGCUGCACCGCGUCUGCUGGUCGGCGUCCCGCGUGGUGAGUUCCUCUCCUGCCUUCUUUUCUCUUGCCCCUUCCUUUCUCCUUUCCUCGAAGCACGGGAUAGGCUCGAGGCGACGGUUCCUACUGCGGGCGGCUCCCUCCCUUCCCCCGACCCCCGGCCCUGCGGCGCGGGUGGCACUGCCGGCGGCCGCGGCCGCUCCACCCUUCCGCGCGAUCUCGUGCAGAUGGUCGGCGCUUCUCUGCUCUUCCUCGAUCUGUCCACUCUAUCCUCUCUCUCUGCUCCGCGUAUGCGGGCGCCGGCGGCGGCCACGGGCCACUCCACUCCUCCGCGCGAGCUUGUGCAGAUGGUCGGCGCGGCUUUGCUCUCCAUCGAUCUGUCCGCUCUGCCCUCUCCCCCUGCUCCGCGUAUGUUCGUGUGCUACAGGUAACCCUACCUGCUUGGGCUACAAGGUCACGACCGCCCGGCACCGCCCCCACCCACGGCAACGGUGUCCUACUCCCAGUGAGGCGCUCGCCGGUGAUAGUAGCGGCGCCCACCAGGCCGCUGUCCCUCCGGUGACUGCGUGGACGACGAGCAGGACCAUUGGAGCGGCAACUUUAAUAGGAGGUCAGAUAGAGACUGAUAACAGUGUCUGGCAAAAGUAUCCUUUGAAUUGGUGUUCAUAAAGCAGAGGCCCAACUACACCUUCCAGAUAUAUAGAGGUAUGGCCACUCAUUUGAAUUUAUAGAUGAACGCAGGGGGCAGAGACAGGACAACAUAGAAGUGCUUGUACUCAUUUUUAAAUUUGUACAUGUUAUUAUGCUUGUUAUCAGAAGCUGCAAAUCAAUCCUUUUGUUGUUUGUUCAAUAUGCUGAGAGCUUGCAUAAAAUUUCUUUGAAAUUUAUUUUUCACGCCUCUAUUUAACCCUAUAUGAUGGCUUCUGCGUUCAUUCUCCUUAAUCUUAGUUUUGUUAUUUCUUUUUCCUAGCAGGCCAUGUAGUUCGACUAUAAAGAUGCCAAGCAUGCGAGUUGCAUCUUGAAAUUUAAAUGUUGAUGUUCCAAAGGAAAAGAUCAGUGACUAGAUAAUGAAGUUUAUGCAUGCUAUUUAAAAUUUUAUGGUCUUAGUUAGCUAUGGUUGCAUCAUGCUGAACAUGUGGUCAAUGGAAUAUCCACAGGAAACAUGAUCAUCUUCUAGCCAUCGAUAUAUGUCAUACGAUUAGUUUCAAGGACUGUAAACAGGUUAUGAUCAGCAUGGAACUACUCCUUUAUCUUCCUCUAUGUACUGUUUUGGAAAGCGAUCGACGACAUUGCCAUUCACUAGCAAUCUUAUGAUCAGAGUGGGGAGGCAAACUUCUCAGUUUUGAGGAUUGAGGUUUGAUCUUCCAAGGAUAUUUAGACUCUUCUCUAGAAUUAAUAGUGGCUUGCCACCAGUAUCCAAAAUAUUCUAGGAGAAUCAGAAGAGAUGUCGUAAGGAUGUUGGAAUUGAUAUGGAUCAUGCUAUUUUCCCUUUACAAAUGACUUGGUAUGUCAGGAAACAAAAAAGGCCUACCGUUGUAAUCCUCCCGUGAGCAGCAUUCUAUGGCAUCCCUCCCGACGAAGAGCAGCCGCGUCGCAACCUAUGGUAGACGAGCGGAGCGUCGUGGCCAUGCCUUAUGAAUUAUUUGCCUACGACAUGUUUAUAGACCCAUUAAUCUAUUGGUACUACAAGCCUUUGCUCAUAUAUUUUUCUGUGACCUUUGUGUUUACAUCCCUCUGCCAUGUUCUAAACAAAGCAUUUGUGUACAAAUUUGUUCCUGGUGAGUCUAAGCUAAUGCAUAUUGCCACUGCAUUUCAAAUUGA